rnacentral:rRNA from 1 species
GACGAACGCUGGCGGCGUGCCUAAUACAUGCAAGUAGAACGCUGAAGGAGGAGCUUGCUUCUCUGGAUGAGUUGCGAACGGGUGAGUAACGCGUAGGUAACCUGCCUGGUAGCGGGGGAUAACUAUUGGAAACAAUAGCUAAUACCGCAUAAUAGUAGAUGUUGCAUGACAUUUGCUUAAAAGGUGCAAUUGCAUCACUACCAGAUGGACCUGCGUUGUAUUAGCUAGUUGGUGAGGUAACGGCUCACCAAGGCAACGAUACAUAGCCGACCUGAGAGGGUGAUCGGCCACACUGGGACUGAGACACGGCCCAGACUCCUACGGGAGGCAGCAGUAGGGAAUCUUCGGCAAUGGACGGAAGUCUGACCGAGCAACGCCGCGUGAGUGAAGAAGGUUUUCGGAUCGUAAAGCUCUGUUGUAAGAGAAGAACGAGUGUGAGAGUGGAAAGUUCACACUGUGACGGUAUCUUACCAGAAAGGGACGGCUAACUACGUG